UAGAGUUUGAUCAUGGCUCAGAACAAACGCUGGCGGCGUGCCUAACACAUGCAAGUCGUACGAGAAAUACCUGGCUUGCCAGGUAGAGUACAGUGGCGCACGGGUGAGUAACGCGUGGGUAAUCUACCCCCAAGACUGGGAUAACCCACCGAAAGGUGGACUAAUACCGGAUAAGCUCACGGCCCCUCGGGGCUGGGAGAAAAGCGGCCCUCUACAUGUAAGGUCGUACUUGGGGACGAGCCCGCGUCCCAUUAGCUUGUUGGUGAGGUAAGAGCUCACCAAGGCGACGAUGGGUAGCUGGUCUGAGAGGAUGAUCAGCCACACUGGGACUGGAACACGGCCCAGACUCCUACGGGAGGCAGCAGUGGGGAAUCUUGCGCAAUGGGGGAAACCCUGACGCAGCAACGCCGCGUGGGUGAAGAAGGGCCUCGGCUCGUAAAGCCCUGUCAGGUGGGAAGAAAUGGUCGGGAACCAAUAAU
rnacentral:rRNA from 1 species